AAUAGAUACCCGGGUAGUCCCAGCCUUAAACGAUGCAUACUAGAUGUAGGGAGGCUCAACCCUUUCUGUAUCGGAGUUAACGCAUUAAGUAUGCCGCCUGGGGAGUACGCUCGCAAGGGUGAAACCCAAAGAAUUGACGGGGGCCCGCACAAGCAGUGGAGCAUGUGGUUUAAUUCGAUGCUACGCGAAGAACCUUACCUGGGCUCGAAGUGUAGAGGAAUGUUUUAGAGAUAGAGCAGCUCGAAAGGGUCUCUAUAUAGGUGCUGCAUGGCUGUCGUCAGCUCGUGCCGUGAGGUGUUUGGUUAAGUCCAGCAACGAGCGCAACCCUUAUCGUUAGUUGCCAGCGCGUGAAGGCGGGAACUCUAACGAGACUGCCUAGGUUAACUAGGAGGAAGGUGAGGAUGAUGUCAAGUCCGCAUGGCCUUUAUGUCCAGGGCAACACACGUGCUACAAUGGUCGGUACAGAAGGCAGCGAAGCCGCGAGGUGGAGCAAAUCCUAAAAAGCCGAUCUCAGUUCGGAUUG
rnacentral:rRNA from 1 species